rnacentral:rRNA from 1 species
CAAGUCGAACGAUGAACCUUAGCUUGCUAGGGGAAUUAGUGGCGAACGGGUGAGUAAUAUAUCGGAACGUACCUUGUAAUGGGGGAUAACUAGUCGAAAGAUUAGCUAAUACCGCAUACGCCCUGAGGGGGAAAGUAGGGGAUCUUCGGACCUUACGUUAUAAGAGCGGCCGAUAUCUGAUUAGCUAGUUGGUGGGGUAAUGGCCUACCAAGGCGACGAUCAGUAGCUGGUCUGAGAGGACGACCAGCCACACUGGAACUGAGACACGGUCCAGACUCCUACGGGAGGCAGCAGUGGGGAAUUUUGGACAAUGGGCGAAAGCCUGAUCCAGCCAUUCCGCGUGAGUGAAGAAGGCCUUCGGGUUGUAAAGCUCUUUCGCAAGGGAAGAAAACUUACAUUCUAAUAAAGUGUGAGGCUGACGGUACCUUGAUAAGAAGCACCGGCUAACUACGUGCCAGCAGCCGCGGUAAUACGUAGGGUGCGAGCGUUAAUCGGAAUUACUGGGCGUAAAGCGUGCGCAGGCGGUUUUGUAAGUCAGAUGUGAAAUCCCCGAGCUCAACUUGGGAACUGCGUUUGAAACUACAAGACUAGAAUAUGUCAGAGGGGGGUAGAAUUCCACGUGUAGCAGUGAAAUGCGUAGAGAUGUGGAGGAAUACCAAUGGCAAAGGCAGCCCCCUGGGAUAAUAUUGACGCUCAUGCACGAAAGCGUGGGGAGCAAACAGGAUUAGAUACCCUGGUAGUCCACGCCCUAAACGAUGUCUACUAGUUGUUGGUGGAGUAAAAUCCAUGAGUAACGCAGCUAACGCGUGAAGUAGACCGCCUGGGGAGUACGGUCGCAAGAUUAAAACUCAAAGGAAUUGACGG